AUACGUAGGGGGCGAGCGUUGUCCGGAAUGAUUGGGCGUAAAGGGCGCGUAGGCGGCCCGGUAAGUCUGGAGUGAAAGUCCUGCUUUUGAGGUGGGAAUUGCUUUGGAUACUGUCGGGCUUGAGUGCAGGAGAGGUAAGUGGAAUUCCCAGUGUAGCGGUGAAGUGCGUAGAGAUUGGGAGGAACACCAGUGGCGAAGGCGACUUACUGGACUGUAACUGACGCUGAGGCGCGAAAGUGUGGGGAGCAAACAGGAUUAGAUACCCUGGUAGUCCACACUGUAAACGAUGAAUGCUAGGUGUAGGGGGUAUCGACCCCUUCUGUGCCGCAGUUAACACAAUAAGCAUUCCGCCUGGGGAGUACGGCCGCAAGGUUGAAACUCAAAGGAAUUGGCGGGG
rnacentral:rRNA from 1 species